UAACUUAUGUUCAUUGACAGC
rnacentral:piRNA from 1 species